UUAGUAGAAGCCAAAAUAGAGGCUAAUCACUGUUAAUGAUUUUAAUGAAAUUUUUUCCUACUAAA
rnacentral:tRNA from 1 species